AUUCAUAGGAGGUGCUUAUUCGGAGUCCAAGGUAACUAAUAGAUUCCUCUUCCUUUUGUUACUUAGUUAUUGCUACUUCAGAUUAUGUUGCACCUUGGGAAAACUGGAAGCGUUUUCCAUGAUUUUGUUGCUCACUGACUCACUGUCUGCAUUUGUAAAUGGAGAACGAAACAUUAAGAAUUGAGGGUUUUUCUAUUUUAAUGUUUUUUAGCGAUUUUCUUCCAUUAACACCGUUCUAUCCUAGAACUCUGAAAUGUGUGCAGUGUAGAAACGUGAAGCUUGGGCAUUAGCCUUGGAAUCGAAAGUCACAACAAACAGUGGAGAUGUCAGCUUCUGCAGCACUUCAACCGCCUUCACGCCCCGUAGUCCAAAAAUAGGAAGAGGUCGGUAGAGUCUACAAGACAAGACAGACACGAAACGAAAGGAGAAAGAGUUAGGUGGUAGAACGAGGAAGAAGCGAGCAACUUUAUAUUUUUGGAGUACAGUGUCACGCGGGCGAGCAACACGGCAUUGCCAACUAGGUUGUCUAACAUGAAUGUGUUAUGCCCAAGUUUGAGUUGGUGUUGUAGUAAGUCUUGCAUAUAGACAAAAGUGGUUUGUUUGUUUUUGUUUUUUAGAAUGUUUUUUUUGGGGGUUGCUUAGAUGGUUAGGCUUUAUAGUUUGCCAGCAAGGGAAUAUGCCCAAAACUUUAAAACGUGUAAAUUGAGAAAUAGACUGGUUUAGUAAUUGUUGGACUUCUUUCUUGUACGCUGCUAGGAUUUUAGGUUUUAAUUACAUGUUUUUGUUUUUGAUGAUGAUAAGGUAGAGAAAAAAAGAUCCAUAUCUUCCCAACUCCAA